AUGCCUACCAGACCGUCAAGCUGAAACAUCAGUCACGUGACCAUGUAGUGGCGCGCUGUUGCUCGAGUGCUGUCAUGUGACAAUUUUGUGGUCCGCUUCCCAUCUGUGCGAUUUUCAGAUGCGAUGCGUUGCCAUGCGGGAAAAUUGCACCUAGUGGACAUGCACCUUCAGGUGUCAAACUGUGUUUAUAAGGGAGCACGUCUGUCAACGGGAUGCAUCUCUGCCAAAAAAAUUACAAUCUUUUGAAGCGCAAUAAUUCACUUCAAGCCAUUAUGGAGCCAGAAAGAAAAAGAAAGGUUUCUGCUGUGUGGGACCAUUUUGAUCAUAUAUCGGCAAACAAGGUAUCUGUUUUCAUUCCCUUGUUGUUCCAUCCUGUUCCUCUCAGUUUAAACGUGAUCUGUUAGAAGUCAAAUACACUUCAAAGUGACUCUUACUUUACUUACUAAAUUAUUCAUUUUAUUUUCUGCAGGUUAAAUGUCGUAUUUUUUCGACAGAACUGUCCUACAUCAAUAAAAGCACCUCGACAAUGCUGAGGAAUUAUAGAGCGAAGCAUGAAAAUGAGGUCACAAAUACACCAAGAAUAAACACAGCUUCCAGGAAGCAUGCGUUGGACCACGCAGUUCUGAAUUUCAUUCUAAAGGACUGCCAUCCCCUCAGCAUUGUUGAGAGUGAGGGGUUCAGGGAACUGGUUCGGGUCCUUGAUCCAUCGUACGUUUUGCCAACCAGGAAGACUGUCAAAGAAAUGGUGGUCAAAAAAUAUGAGGAGGAACAAGAACGAGUGAAAAUGGAAGUGCGUCAAGCUGUGGCAGUGAGUAUAACAACUGACAUGUGGACAUCUAUGAACAUGGAGACAUACUUGGCUCUUACCUGUCACUACAUUAAUGAAAACAUGCAGUUGUGUACAUCUGUGUUGAGAGUGCAACACUUUCCACAAAGUCACACUGCUGACAAUUUGGCCCGAGUCAAAAGGGGCAUGACUGAUGACUGGGCCAUAACUAAGACAAGUAAAGUGUCUUGUGACUGAUGCAGCACCAAACGUAAUGUCAUCAUCCCACAAGAAGUCUCCAAAUUCAGCAUUCAGUUUGUAUUGCACACACUCUGAAUUUAAUAGUAAAAAAGCAUGGGAUGAAAUCCCUUCACUUACAUCAAUCAGUCACAAAUCCAGGCAAAUUGUAGCAUACUUCAGAUCAGCCAACACAGUCAAAGAGAAGCUUGCCCAAGUGCAGCAACAUGGGACGGCCAACCCAGAAACUCACCAAUGAGGUGCCAACACGCUGGAACAGCACAUAUCAAAUUCUGGCAAGGCUACAUGAUGAGAAGGAACCAAUGUGGGUACCUCUUGACUCACUAAAAACAGACAUAACUCCACUUACGGCUGAUGAGUUCACUGUCGUAGGUGAAACACUUCUUGUGCUUGCUCCUUUCCAUCAAACUACAGUGAAUUUGUCUGAAGAGAAGAGAGUUUUAGGGUCAAAGGUCAUUCCCAUGAUGAAAAUGCCGUAUCUUGCACUUGAGAGUAAUGCUUCAAAUUUGCACACACAGGCAGCAAUACACCGCCACAAACACCUUUCACUUCUA